rnacentral:rRNA from 1 species
UACGGGGGGGAGCAAGCGUUGUUCGGAUUUACUGGGCGUAAAGGGCGCGUAGGCGGCCACCGCAAGUCGACUGUGAAAUCUCCGGGCUUAACCCGGAAAGGUCAGCCGAUACUGCGGGGCUAGAGUGCAGAAGGGGCAACUGGAAUUCUCGGUGUAGCGGUGAAAUGCGUAGAUAUCGAGAGGAACACCUGCGGCGAAGGCGGGUUGCUGGGCUGACACGUGACGCUGGAGGCGCGAAAGCUAGGGGAGCGAACGGG